rnacentral:rRNA from 1 species
CCAUGGACGAUGACAUUAGCUGCAGAAUAAGCACCGGCUAACUCUGUGCCAGCAGCCGCGGUAAUACAGAGGGUGCAAGCGUUAAUCGGAAUUACUGGGCGUAAAGCGAGCGUAGGUGGCUUGAUAAGUCAGAUGUGAAAGCCCCGGGCUUAACCUGGGAACGGCAUCUGAUACUGUUAGGCUAGAGUAGGUGAGAGGAAGGUAGAAUUCCAGGUGUAGCGGUGAAAUGCGUAGAGAUCUGGAGGAAUACCGAUGGCGAAGGCAGCCUUCUGGCAUCAUACUGACACUGAGGUUCGAAAGCGUGGGUAGCAAACAGGAUUAGAUACCCUGGUAGUCCACGCCGUAAACGAUGUCUACUAGUCGUUGGGUCCCUUGAGGACUUAGUGACGCAGCUAACGCAAUAAGUAGACCGCCUGGGGAGUACGGCCGCAAGGUUAAAACUCAAAUGAAUUGACGGGGGCCCGCACAAGCGGUGGAGCAUGUGGUUUAAUUCGAUGCAACGCGAAGAACCUUACCUGGUCUUGACAUAUCUAGAAUCCUGCAGAGAUGCGGGAGUGCCUUCGGGAAUUAGAAUACAGGUGCUGCAUGGCUGUCGUCAGCUCGUGUCGUGAGAUGUUGGGUUAAGUCCCGCAACGAGCGCAACCCUUGUCCUUAGUUACCAGCGGUUUGGCCGGGAACUCUAAGGAUACUGCCAGUGACAAAC